rnacentral:rRNA from 1 species
AGCGAACGCUGGCGGCAGGCCUAACACAUGCAAGUCGAACGGACCCUUCGGGGUUAGUGGCGGACGGGUGAGUAACACGUGGGAACGUGCCUUUAGGUUCGGAAUAGCUCCUGGAAACGGGUGGUAAUGCCGAAUGUGCCCUUAGGGGGAAAGAUUUAUCGCCUUUAGAGUGGCCCGCGUCUGAUUAGCUAGUUGGUGAGGUAAUGGCUCACCAAGGCUACGAUCAGUAGCUGGUCUGAGAGGAUGACCAGCCACAUUGGGACUGAGACACGGCCCAAACUCCUACGGGAGGCAGCAGUGGGGAAUCUUGCGCAAUGGGCGAAAGCCUGACGCAGCCAUGCCGCGUGGAUGAUGAAGGUCUUAGGAUUGUAAAAUCCUUUCACCGGUGAAGAUAAUGACUGUAGCCGGAGAAGAAGCCCCGGCUAACUUCGUGCCAGCCGCCGCGGUAAUAC